GGAUGAACGCUGGCGGCGUGCCUAAUACAUGCAAGUCGAGCGAACGGACGAAAAGCUUGCUUUUCUGAUGUUCGCGGCGGACGGGUGAGUAACACGUGGAUAACCUACCUAUAAGACUGGGAUAACUUCGGGAAACCGGAGCUAAUACCGGAUAAUAUUUUGAACCGCAUGGUUCAAAAGUGAAAGACGGUCUUGCUGUCACUUAUAGAUGGAUCCGCGCUGCAUUAGCUAGUUGGUAAGGUAACGGCUUACCAAGGCAACGAUGCAUAGCCGACCUGAGAGGGUGAUCGGCCACACUGGAACUGAGACACGGUCCAGACUCCUACGGGAGGCAGCAGUAGGGAAUCUUCCGCAAUGGGCGAAAGCCUGACGGAGCAACGCCGCGUGAGUGAUGAAGGUCUUCGGAUCGUAAAACUCUGUUAUUAGGGAAGAACAUAUGUGUAAGUAACUGUGCACAUCUUGACGGUACCUAAUCAGAAAGCCACGGCUAACUACGUG
rnacentral:rRNA from 1 species